UCCGCGCUCCGGCUGGGGCCCUCCUCCGCUCGCCGCAGUCUGCCGGUGAAGUUGCGGUCUUGUGUUUGAACACUAACCCCAAGCGCGUGGCUGAGUGUGAGCGAGCGUGUGUGACGUCGGGAGGCGCCGCGGCUUAACCGAAGCGCCCCGCUCGGCUAUCCCUUGUCUGGACCAAAAGUGCUGACUGGCUGACCCUGGCGGUCACAUUUGCUCUCUGGGGUUUUUGAAAACCUUAAAUCAAAGUUGCUUUUCUCUCUGGCAACUGCCGAGGCUCCUUCCGCGGCCUCUGGGCUGUGAACAGAUAAGGACGUGAGUUUCCCCGACCAGAGAUGGAGUGAUGAUUAAGGAACAAAAUGUCCCUGUCCUCAUGGAGGUUAAAGUCUGGAGAGAAAUCAGACAUCGAACGGGCAGUUACGUACCAGGAAGACAUCACCUCCUUAAGUACUGAACACUGUUGUUUAAUAAGAUUACAACUGAACACCAGGAGGAAGGUGACAGUAGGAGAGGUUGAACCCUGAGAAGACCUUCCUGAAAGUGGACCAAAAAGUCGAGCAAGGGAUCUUGAAAGGACAGCCCUGUUCCAGAUGGAAAUGGUAAUCCUCCAUUUCUCCACCUCUGCAUUCACCAAACACCGACUACAUCUUUGAAGGAUUACUCUUGCAAAAUAACUUGGAAACUCCAGACUGUUUUGUUUAUUUGAAGAGCCCCUGACCAGGAACACUAGGGAUAAACUGAGACUACGUGGAGUUGAUGAAGCUCCCCACAGUAAGGUAGCACACUCAUUUCCAGAUGAAAUUGACCAAGCAGAUGGGCUCAAAAGGAGCAACAGACUCUAGACUGUGAAACUCCAGCCUGUGUGAGGGAUCUUGGUUCUGCCCCAGACUUGAGGAGCCAUCUGCUUGGAGCUUAGAACUCUGGAGGGACCCUGAGGCCCUUCUGUGUUCUGGCCUGGCCCAGCGGCAGGCGGUGGGAUGAGAGAGUGCCGGGGGAAGGGAGAUCUCUUCCCAUCUACUCUAAGGGUGGUGUUUCAGAAAUCGCUGCUUUUGAAUAGUCUGCCCGACCUAAUUGGAAAACCCAUGAGAUGGAGUAUUGAACUGACUUCCCUGUCUCCGGACUUCUCUUAAUUUCUAGGGCAGGUCAGGGAUACAUCAGACACUUCAGGCAUGGAUCAACUCCUUUUGAUACACACUUGCAACAGUGGACAGAGGACCCUUCGGGUAUAGUUCAUCUUUUUUCAGCUAUGUCAUAGGUCUGCGAAACUGGGUAUGCAACUCAACCUAAGGAGAAGCAAUUUCUUCCUCCUAGUGGAAUUAUGAGGCUUAAAUGAGACACUGUGUCAGGUGCCAUCAUCGUUCUUAGCACAUCGUUAGUGCCUGAUGCACAUUAGUUCCCUUUCCCUUGUCUAUAAACAGGGUGUGAGCAUUGGCUCAGGUGCUCAGGCCAUGGAGCAAUCUGCUGUUGUUCUCAGAGCACCUGACACAUGAACACACGAUCUUAGUUGUGAAAUCACAUGGAAGUCCACUUUCUUAAAAUCAGCAUUAGUUCACUUAGCAUGACUAUUUGCUAGACUUUCUGCUAAGCUUUGGAGAUAUCAAUGAAGUACAGUCCCCAUCUGAAAGCCGUUCUGAAUUUGAGGGAAAGCUCAGCACGUAACAGACAAGGAUUACUUGGAGUCCAUCAGCCAAGGAGCAUGGAGGGAUGGAAAAGGUAUGAGGGGGGUAGCAUUUUUAGUAAGGACACUAGGUGAUUCAGAUGGAGGUGGCUCAAGAAACAUACUUGAAAAAACACUUCACUUAAAUGCAUUCAUUGUAGAAGUCUAACUUUUAUGAGUAAUGUUGGACCACUUACGGUUAACUUCAAAAAAUAAGCUGGCUUUAUCAGCUUGUCUUAUUAUGUGCUCCCACAUUUUUUUUCUAAUCCCCAAUCCUAGUUACCAAGAAAAUCACCCUUUCUCCCACACCUUUUCUCAUCAGCACAUCCAAAGAAAACAAGCAUCCAGAUAAUUAAAUUCAAUUAGCUCUCUCAAAAACAUAGACCUCUAUGGGUGUGUCCUCCAAGCUGCCAGGAUAGUGCUGAGCUCUGCAAGCCCUACAAAUAAGUACUUGCAGGCUCACCGAUUUAGAGACACACAGACACAUGCCUGGUCUCAGUUGUAUAUUGGUGUCCAGUGCUCAUUCAGAUGCAUUCGGUUUAAAUAAAGAAAGAGCAUUAAAGGUGUACGUUGGUCAUUGCUUAACAUUGGAGCAUCUCUUAGCUUGAGUUUUGCCAUGAUGAUGACUUGUGGGUUCAAGUUCUGUUUAUACAGCACUGUAACAGAAAAAUUGAAAACUGAAAAAGUUCAACUAACUCACCGAUUGUGUCACCUUCAUGUCAUACUGAUGAUUUUAUUAUUUUCUAACUUCACCAGAAUGAGUAAGUAUUUUGGUGGGUAGCAGGUACAGAUUUGAAUAAGUGUUCCAUCUGGUGUUAUUUUUGUUACACCUUAACUUCUUAAAGAUCUAUUUUAUGAGAACAAACCAGUUCUUGUACUUGCACGAGGCUUGCUAUUUACUUUUACCAAAAUUUAAAACUCCACCUACAGAUUGAGGCACCCGGCUCUGGAGCGUCCAGACCUAUUUACGGUGUAAUUGCCCCUUCUACCAGAGGUGGCGUUGCUGACGGAGCAGCAGUGGUCUUCACUGUUUGGACUUGUCAGAGAGUCCGGAAGAAGAGUAAGCAUUGUAUUCCCGUAAGGUAGAGCCAAUUGCUGGCUUCUCUUCUUUUCAAGAGAUUUUUUUUUUUUUCCAUUUGAAGUGGCCUGUGUGAGGUGAAGAUGGCUAGGUGGUUCUGUUACACAUGGCGUCUCACACAUCUUAACCAAUUAGAAAGGACUGUGGGGAAUUACAGGGAAUUAAUCCCAUCCAGAAGGUCUAGGGACAGCCUCAACUACUCAAACUCUAGUUACUUGGUUUACAAUGUCACAAGAGCCCCUUGAUUGGAUUAAAGCUGAAUAUCUCCGGGCAGUUUGUCUAUUAUUUCUUGUGAACAAUGUGUGUGUGUGUGUGUGUGUGGCUACAACUGUGUCAGCAUUUGUCGGGGGUUAAAAUUGAGCUCUCACAUUCAUUUUAUUCAAUUGGCCAGGCCAUGAGGCCCUUUGAAAAUGGCCACUUCGUUUACAUGUAUAAAAACCAUGCCAUUUAGUUGACUUCUCUUGACUUUUUCAAGUGUUUAUUUUGAAGUUUCAUUUUAUACAGGAAAUAGACAUAAUCACCAAUAAAUUUAACUUUAAUAACUUAGACCCUGGGAGCCUUUCCUGGUUGGCAGAAAAUUCCCUACAUCUUGCAAAUCCUCCUUAUGGGAUAUCCUAUUUCUUAUCUGGAGUUGAAAGUCAGGAUUAAUCUGGAUAAUUAAGAAAAUCUUUCUAAAAGAUACCCUGCAUCCUCUUUAAAAUUAAACUCUGCUUGGAAGUUUCCUUUCUUUUCUUAGUAAAAUCAUAGUGUCAAUGAUAAAAGUAAAAAUAGAUCACAGGAAUUUUGGUGUUUUCCAUAGGUCUUUAUAAAACUCAAAGACAGUGGCAUCUUCCCAAUUUAUUAUACCACAAAAAAAUGACAUUAGGAUAUAAUUUUGAAAUCAACUGAUUACUAAUAGUCAAUAUUCAUUUAAUGAUAAAUUUAAUAUGCCAAAGAAGUUGCGGGAGUGUAUAAAGAAAAAGCUUUUGAUUCUUUCAAUCAAAUUAUCCAUUUGAAAAGCUCCUAUACCAUCUAUGCGGCAUAUGUGUGCUUGAGUGAACACACACACACACACAGAGUUAAUCUGCUUUGUGGAGUCUGAAAGCCAGAAACCCUUCUGCAGAUAGCAGUACUGAAGGUUUCUCAGCCUUCCCUUUUGCUUUCUAAGGCGUGGAGCAACGUGGCUCCUUCCCAGACAGUCAGACCUGCUAUAAAAAGUAACAUCGGCCAUGGGAAUUAUACAGGGAGAAGGGAUAUGCCAUAAACAGGGAUAAACAUCUUCCUUUAUGCAAAGCUGCCAGAUCCCUUUAAGCAGAGAACUGUUCCCUGUCCCCACUGCGGCCCCUCUUUCCUGUCCAGGGACCAAUGAAGUGGGGCUUUCCAUCCUAAAUGAUCCAUCGGGAGAGGCUUAGAUAAGGCGCACAGUUGCCAUCAAUAGCCUUCAAACCCCCAUCUCUGGGACAAAGUGGGAAGGCUAUCCUUUUGUUACCACUCUAUCGAGGAGAAAAAACCCGAGGAAAACAUCUACUGGACAAAGGCUACUCUGUGUGCUGAGAAACCCUGAUCCUCGACUAUUGUCGCCAGCCUUAUUUAUGCCACAGAGAUGACUUUUCAGAGGUUUAGCAAAAUUAUCAGCAGGGCAAUUUUAAUACUCUAUGUUUAUUUAGUUAGCACACUCUCCAUUUUCUAGGGGAAGAAAACAUUCAAGGAAUUUUCUUUAAACAAAAAGUUACAGAGGGAAGAAUAAAAUGUUCAUUUCUGUGUAGGAAUGCUCUCUCACUGUGAAAUGCUCUGAUAUGACAAGAAAUGUACUUUAUGCCAUCCCUUAAGAAACCGAUCCUAUACAUGCGAUGUGUAGAUGUAUUAUAUAUUUUUUAUUAUAUAAUGUAUAUAUCAUAUACAUUAUUAUUUCAAUUCUUUCAUAUUUGAACAAGUGCACUUACUAGACAUGAGGGCUUUUUCUGACCAACCCCCAAAUCCAAGUAGGCUUUAAAUUAUAAGUAGUGCUUUCAGCUCGUGCGGGAGAUGGGAAAUGGAGCGAGAGGUAGAGAGUGCCAAAGACACACAGACGGAGUAAGGCAGCGUGGGUUUGGAGUCCCCGUGGUCCAAGUUCUGAAUCUCAAUUCCAGACCUUACUCGUUAAUAGACCCUAAUAAGUAUUAUUUUGUUUUGAUUUUUGAGCUGUAACAUUGGGGUAAUAAUACCUCCCUUACAGACCUGCUGUUACACACGUAAAAAUCUCUGUUGUAAAGUAGUCAUGAAAAAUAAGAUUUAAAGGUGCUUAAGGACCGAGAAGGUGCCUGCAGACUGACUUAAUUUUCUUUUCCACCUCCACUUGAGAAUCUGAGGGAAUCUGGAGAAACUUUUGCUAUUCUAUGCCAUUGAAUUUUCAAACUAGAAUCUAUUAUCCAGUCAACAAAUAUUUAUUACCCAUUCUGAGCCAGAUACCAGAGGAAUUCUGCGGAGUGCUUCAGAGAGCCACAAAUGUUUGAUCUGUAUUUUAUUCUAGACAUAUACUUUAACUACUUGAAAAAAGAAUGGAAGUGGUCUGCAUGUUCCAUCUGCUACAUACCAUAUGUACUAAGUUUUAAUUCUUCUGAUACCACUGACGCCUUAACCUGUGCUUUCAGGUGACCUCUUUUUAGUGUAGACUCAGAAUACAGCUUCUCCUACCUUCUCUGAAAACAUUUUUACUUCUCCUAAAUGUGCCAUUAAUUAGAAAUAUAGUGGUGCUGAAACAUUCCUUUAAAAAUUCAGAACUGCUCAAGCGUGCUUCUGUGAAACUACGUGAGGGGUCACGUGAAUGUUGGGCUCGAUUAAAUGCCAGGUCAGGCCUGCGGAUCUGCUCAGAACAUGCUUUGUUCCCAGUAUAACUGCAUGGUUGUGCAAAAAUAAAUGACAAGCUAUCUUGUUCAGUACAGUUUGGGACACUUACUGUAGAUUUUGGGUGCUUCUCUUCUGACUUUUAUAUUUGCGAGAAAGAAUGAACAGUUGUUACAUAUUAUUGGUGACUCAGUUUUUGAAAUGAAAUGUUCCUAGUUGCUUUUUUUGAAGAGUGUGCUGAGGUUGCAAAGGGAACUGUGCAGAAGUUUCACCACUUGUAAAGACUUACAUGAUUGAAUUAGCAUUUUCCUCAAUACUGUGCAAUCAAAAUAAAAUAUAUCAAAAAAUGAAA